rnacentral:rRNA from 1 species
GGGCCCGCACAAGCAGUGGAGCAUGUGGUUUAAUUCGAUGCAACGCGAAGAACCUUACCAGGCCUUGACAUCCUCGGAACUUUCUAGAGAUAGAUUGGUGCCUUCGGGAACCGAGUGACAGGUGCUGCAUGGCUGUCGUCAGCUCGUGUCGUGAGAUGUUCGGUUAAGUCCGGCAACGAGCGCAACCCACGUCCUUAGUUACCAGCAUUUAGUUGGGUACCCUAAGGAGACUGCCGGUGAUAAGCCGGAGGAAGGUGUGGACGACGUCAAGUCAUCACGGCCCUUACGGUUGGGCUACACACGUGCUACAAUGGCAGUGACAGAGGGACGCUACCAGGUGACUGGAUGCAAA